GGACGCAUGGUCUAGUGGUAUGACGUAACCUUUACAGAGACUGCUGCUAUCGUCGUCGACGUCGUGGUAUCGAGAGUAUUCGGUUCAGGUCCUGGGUUCGAUCCCCAGUGUGUUCA